UUGAAAUUGUGUCCUGCGGUGUCGGUCUACCGAUUGCGGUACGACAGGCACGUCUGCGGGGCUUCUCGCCGGUGCGUCCACCCGCCGGCGUGCGUCGGUCGGCCUCACGGUCGGCCGCGCACCGAGGCGGGCCGUCGCGGCUGUUUACUUUGAACAAAUUAGAGUGCUCAAAGCGGGCUAACACUUGCCUGAAUAUUGUACGCAUGGAAUAAUAGAAUAGGACCUCGGUUCUGUUUUGUUGGCUUUCUGAUACCAGAGGUAAUGAUUAAUAGGGACAACUGGGGGCAUUCGUAUUGCGACGUUAGAGGUGAAAUUCUUGGAUCGUCGCAAGACGGACUAAAGCGAAAGCAUUUGCCAAAGGUGUUUUCAUUAAUCAAGAACGAAAGUUAGAGGUUCGAAGGCGAUUAGAUACCGCUGUAGUUCUAACCAUAAAUGAUGCCAGCCAGCGAUCCGCCGAAGUUUCAUAAAUUUAACCCGGUGGGCAGCUCCCGGGAAACCAAAGCUUUC
rnacentral:rRNA from 1 species